rnacentral:lncRNA from 1 species
UCUCUAAUGUAACAUUACAAAAAAUUGCAUUAGUUUUAUUAAAUGUGAUCUCUCACCACCUGCAUACAAAUCCCCUGGAAAGCUUAAAAAUACAAGGAUUUUUUAUUUUUUAUUUUUUGCUUAGGAUUGCCUUGGCUAUGUGGGCUCUUUUUUGGUUCCAUAUGAAAUUUAAAGUAGUUUUUUCCAAUUCUGUGAAGAAAGUCAAUGGUAGCUUGAUCGGAAUAGCAGUGAAUCUAUAAAUUACUUUGGGCACUAUGAAACCUCUGCCUCCCAGGUUCAAGUGAUUCUCCUCCCUCAGCCUCCCGAGUAGCUGGGAUUACAGGUGCCUGCCACAAUGCCCGGCUAAUUUUUUGUAUUUUUUAGUAAAGACAGGGUUUCACCACGUUGGCGAGGCUGGUCUCAAACUACUGACCUCAACUGAUCCACCCACCUCAGCCUCCCAAAGUGCUGGGAUUACAGGCGUGAGCCACUAUGCCCAGCAACUAUGUUGCUUUUCAAACUUAUUUCAAUUUGUAGUUCUGUAAAACUAUAUUGGAAGAAA